ensembl:misc_RNA Y_RNA Y RNA
AGCUGAUCCAAGUGCAGUGGUAUUUACUACUUGAUCACAACCAGCUACAGAUUUCUUUGUUCCUUCUCCACUCCCACUGCUUCAUUUAACUGGCCAAAA